CCUGCCCUGUGACAUAUGUUUAACGGCCGCGGUAUCUUGACCGUGCAAAGGUAGCGCAAUCACUUGUCUUUUAAAUGAAGACCUGUAUGAAUGGCAAAACGAGGGCUUAACUGUCUCCUCCUCCCAGUCAAUGAAAUUGAUCUCCCCGUGCAGAAGCGGGGAUAAUUACAUAAGACGAGAAGACCCUAUGGAGCUUUAGACACAAGAGCAGAUCAUGUUAAACCCCUGAGAAGAGCCAGGAGGAAACCAAUUGAGCCCUGCUCCCUGUCUUUGGUUGGGGCGACCGCGGGGGACCAAAAAACCCCCGAGUGGAAUGAGAAAACUACUCUUAAAACCAAGAGCUACAGCUCUAAGAAUCAGAACAUCUGACCUUUAAGAUCCGGCACAGCCGAUCAACGAACCGAGUUACCCUAGGGAUAACAGCGCAAUCCCCUUUUAGAGCCCAUAUCGACAAGGGGGUUUACGACCUCGAUGUUGGAUCAGGACAUCCUAAUGGUGCAGCCGCUAUUAAGGGUUCGUUUGUUCAACGAUUAA
rnacentral:rRNA from 1 species